AAAGGGAAGAAAAAGAGGGAGGAGUGAAAGUAAAGGGAUGGAAAAGAGGGAGGAGUGAAAGUAAAGGGGAAGAAAAGAGGGAGGAGCGAAAGUAAAGGGAUGGAAAAGAGGGAGGAGUGAAAGCAAAGGGGAAGAAAAGAGGGAGGAGUGAAAGUAAAGGGAUGGAAAAGAGGGGGGAGUGAAAGUAAAGGGGAAGAAAAAGAGGGAGGAGUGAAAGUAAAGGGAUGGAAAAGAGGGAGGAGUGAAAGUAAAGGGGAAGAAAAGAGGGAGGAGUGAAAGUAAAGGGAUGGAAAAGAGGGAGGAGUGAAAGUAAAGGGGAAGAAAAAAAGGGAGGAGUGUAAGUAAAGGGAUGGAAAAGAGGGGGGGAUGAAAGUAAAGGGGAAGAAAAGAGGGAGGAGUGAAAGUAAAGGGAUGGAAAAAAGGGAGUAGUGAAAGUAAAGGGGAAGAAAAGAGGGAGGAGUGAAAGUAAAGGGAUGGAAAAGAGGGAGGAGUGAAAGUAAAGGGAAGAAAAAGAGGGAGGAGUGAAAGUAAAGGGAUGGAAAAGAGGGGGAGUGAAAGUAAAGGGAUGGAAAAGAGGGAGGAGCGAAAGUAAAGGGGAAGAAAAGAGGGAGGAGUGAAAGUAAAGGGAUGGAAAAGAGGGAGGAGUGAAAGUAAAGGGAUGGAAAAGAGGGAGGAGUGAAAGUAAAGGGGAAGAAAAGAGGGAGGAGUGAAAGUAAAGGGAUGCAAAAGAGGGAGGAUUGAAGAAAAGAGGGGAACAUGUGAGAAUUGAUGUAUAGAGGUAUUGGGAAGGAUUGUUGGGCAUCAUUUCCAAGUUCCUUGAGUUCUACAGUUCUACGUACUCACUCUGGUGUUCAUUGUACUGAUCUGAAAAGGAACACAACUAGAAACACAAGUUGAAACACAACUAGAAGGC
ensembl:lncRNA